rnacentral:pre_miRNA from 1 species
AGUGGGAUAACUGGGUCAAAUGGUGGUUCCACUCCAAGUUUUCUGAGGAAUCAUCAUACUGCUUUCCAGAGCGUUCACACCAAUUUGCAGUCCCACUAGCAAA